rnacentral:lncRNA from 1 species
AUCGUCACUGAAUAGUGACUCACCUGCGUAGCACUCCACUGUCGGGAGUUAGCUCGUAAAACGUAUGGGCAUAAGUACCCCUUAGACCUGAGACUGUCACGGUGACUUGCAAGCAACUCACUGUACUUAGGCACUGGAUGACCUGAAUUUCUAAUUCAGGGAUCAGAAGGAUGCUGGGUGCAGUCAAGUACUCGCGAAGUCUGUGUAUGAGUCAAGAUGGGAUUGACCGCUUCAGAUUUUAGGAGUUGAUGUCUCACUGUAUUUCAAUUCAGUAAAACCUUGGCCAGGGUAAACCAAGUGAUGGUCACUUGAUUUGAUUAAUUGAAAUAUACUAUGGAUGACCAGACCCAGAGUUCGACAGUCCACUCUGAGGUCAUCUUGAGCAUCGAAGGUCAUAGGGAUGAAUUAUGCAAACAACCAUACGUCUAGGUUCUUGAAUGUUGCUUUGCAUAUUCGACCUAUCCGGACGUCGGGUAUCAUUGCUAGAUGGUCACCUCGAUUAGUGCAUGGAGUAGUCCAUGUACUACCGGCUUAGUGUUCGAACCUAUCGGAGUCACGCACAUUAGUCAAGCUGAGUAGGAAGGUCUUGA